UUUCACAGAUGGGGAAACUGAGGCC
rnacentral:piRNA from 2 species